rnacentral:lncRNA from 1 species
GGGCGCGGUGGCUCACGCCUGUAAUCCCAGCACUUUGGGAGGCCGAGGAGGGCGGAUCACAAGGUCAAGAGAUCGAGACCAUCCUGGCCAACAUGGUGAAACCCCGUCUCUAUUAAAAGUAUAAAAAUUAGCUGGGCGUGGUGGCAGGCGCCUGUAGUCCCAGCUACUCGGGAGGCUGAGGCAGGAGAAUCGCCUGAACCCGGGAGGCGGAGGUUGCAGUGAGCCGAGAUCGAGCCACUGCACUCCAG